GGGCUGGAAACGCUCCACAGGGGCAUCAGGAGAAGGCUGCCAGAGGGGAAAACAGCUGUCUGUAAUGGAAAGGGACCAGAUAAGCAAGCUCUGCUAAGGUUGGGUGCAGGAGUAGAGCAUACACUGGAGACUCAAGAACACCAAGAAGCAGAGAUAUGGUGGGAAGGCUGGUAGCUACAUUUUAUGUGAGUACUGCUCUGCAUGAGUUUUACUUGCUCGCAAAGGUGGGAACCAAUCAUUGAAUCAUAGAAUACCUCAAGCUGGAAGGGACCCAUAAGGAUCAUCGAGUCCAACUGUCCAGGGCAGCUCCUUAGAGAAGGAAAAACAGAAUUCAGUGAAGGACUUGACAGGAGGAAGAAAAGGCUCAGCAGCUUGAGUUUGAUGAUGAGAAGAAGGGCUGCGUGGCAGGGAUAGAGACAACAUGCAGCCAGUAUAUUAAAAAGCAAUCAAAGGAAAAGAAACCAGUAGUUUAACUAGAUAAACACAAAUGUCUUCAAUUCUAUCUAAUUCUACCAUGUGUGCAUGCCUGAAUCAUGCUGUGCAACACUGCUUUGAAAUUUCUGCGAGAAACAGAUGUAGUUAGCAAUUGUUCCUCGAUGCCGACAGGAAGAAAAUCAGCAUUAGCUGAUGAAGAAGAAGAUUCUUUUAAAAAGAAUAUGAAUAAUCUUAGUGUCUGCUCCAGGAGAACACGUGGGAUGGUCUGAGAUUUCAGUACAAACUCAUCUGGUACAGAGAGGCCUUGAACCACGCAGAUAUAUCUGUUGCACAUCAGCGAAUGCAGAAAUGACACAGAGUGCAAGGCAUCCCUUAGCAACUCAUCUGGAUUCCACUAGUGGAAAACUGGCUCCUGCCAGCAAAAGUGACACAGAUGACCCAGAGCAUGCUCCCAGCACAACCUGAAGUCCAAACAUCCCACCAUCCACUCACGUGAGGGCUUCAUGCUACUAACUAGUGCGUAUCAUGAACAGAGAGAUAUGAUUGUUGUUCAUUCCUAUGGUGUCUCUACAAGGAGGCUGGCUCAGUGGAAAUGACCAGCCUUUGAAUUACAUCUUUUUUUGUGUGUGUG